rnacentral:rRNA from 1 species
UGGACAGAAAGACCCUAUGAAGCUUUACUGUAACUUGAAAUUGAAAUUGGACUUUAUUCGCGCAGCAUAGGUGGGAGGCGUUGAUUAUAAUCUUGCGGGAUUAUUGGAGCCAUCAGUGAGAUACCACCCUUGUAAUGUUGGAUUUCUAACUUUGAAUCAUUAUCUGGUCAAAGGACAGUUUCAGGCGGGCAGUUUGACUGGGGCGGUCGCCUCCUAAACGGUAACGGAGGCGUACAAAGGUUUCCUCUGAACGGUUAGAAAUCGUAUCUAGAGUGUAAAGGCAUAAGGAAGCUUGACUGUGAGACCUACAAGUCGAGCAGGGACGAAAGUCGGUCUUAGUGAUCUGACGGUACUGAGUGGAAAGGCCGUCACUCAACGGAUAAAAGUUACUCUAGGGAUAACAGGCU